UGCGCAGGCGGUUCGUUGCGUGGGUGGUGAAAUCUCCUGGCUCAACUGGGAGGGGGCCAUCCAAACGGGCGAACUUGAGGCGUGGAGAGGGACGUGGAAUUCCGGGUGGAGCGGUGAAAUGCGUAGAGAUCCGGAGGAACACCGACGGCGAAGGCAGCGUCCUGGCCACUUGCCUGACGCUCAGGCACGAAAGCUGGGGGAGCAAACAGGAUUAGAUACCCUGGUAGUCCCAGCUGUAAACGAUGUCCACCAGGUGCUGGAGGUAUCGACCCCUUCGGUGCCGAAGCUAACGUGAUGAGUGGACCGCCUGGGGAGUACGGCCGCAAGGUUAAA
rnacentral:rRNA from 1 species